UACAGAGGCCCCGAGCGUUGUUCGGAUUUACUGGGCGUAAAGCGGAUGUAGGUGGUCAUGUAAGUCAGAUGUGAAAGCCCUGGGCCUAACCCGGGAACUGCAUUUGAUACUGCGUGACUGGAGUGCAGAAGAGGAGAGUGGAAUUCCUAGUGUAGGGGUGAAAUCCGUAGAUAUUAGGAGGAAUACCGAUGGCGAAGGCAACUCUCUGGUCUGUAACUGACACUGAGAUCCGAAAGCGUGGGUAGCAAACAGG
rnacentral:rRNA from 1 species